GACGAACGCUGGCGGCGUGCCUAAUACAUGCAAGUCGAACGCAUUUUCUUUCACCGUAGCUUGCUACACCGAAAGAAAAUGAGUGGCGAACGGGUGAGUAACACGUGGGUAACCUGCCCAUCAGCGGGGGAUAACACUUGGAAACAGGUGCUAAUACCGCAUAAUUCCAUUUACUGCAUGGUAGAUGGAUGAAAGGCGCUUUUGCGUCACUGAUGGAUGGACCCGCGGUGCAUUAGCUAGUUGGUGGGGUAACGGCCUACCAAGGCUGCGAUGCAUAGCCGACCUGAGAGGGUGAUCGGCCACACUGGGACUGAGACACGGCCCAGACUCCUACGGGAGGCAGCAGUAGGGAAUCUUCGGCAAUGGACGCAAGUCUGACCGAGCAACGCCGCAUGAGUGAAGAAGGUUUUCGGAUCGUAAAACUCUGUUGUUAGAAAAGAACAAGGAUGAGAGUGGAAAGUUCAUCCCUUGACGGUAUCUAACCAGAAAGCCACGGCUAACUACGUG
rnacentral:rRNA from 1 species